rnacentral:rRNA from 1 species
AUUGAACGCUGGCGGCAUGCUUUACACAUGCAAGUCGAACGGUAACAGGCCUUCGGGUGCUGACGAGUGGCGAACGGGUGAGUAAUGCAUCGGAACGUACCCAGAGGUGGGGGAUAACGCAGCGAAAGCUGUGCUAAUACCGCAUGUGAUCUGAGGAUGAAAGCGGGGGACCGAGCAGCAAUGUUUGGCCUCGCGCCUUUGGAGCGGCCGAUGUCGGAUUAGCUAGUUGGUGGGGUAAAGGCCUACCAAGGCGACGGUCCGUAGCUGGUCUGAGAGGACGACCAGCCACACUGGGACUGGGACACGGCCCAGACUCCUACGGGAGGCAGCAGUGGGGAAUUUUGGACAAUGGGCGCAAGCCUGAUCCAGCAAUGCCGCGUGCGGGAAGAAGGCCUUCGGGUUGUAAACCGCUUUUGGCAGGAACGAAACGGUGUCCGCUAAUACCGGGCGCUAAUGACGGUACCUGCAGAAUAAGCACCGGCUAACUACGUG